rnacentral:rRNA from 1 species
UACAGAGGGUGCGAGCGUUGUUCGGAAUUAUUGGGCGUAAAGCGCUUGUAGGCGGCACGUCAAGUCGCGUGUGAAAUCCCCAGGCUUAACCUGGGAAGUGCGUGCGAAACUGACGAGCUUGAGUGCCGGAGAGGGUCGCGGAAUUCCCGGUGUAGAGGUGAAAUUCGUAGAUAUCGGGAGGAACACCAGUGGCGAAGGCGGCGACCUGGACGGACACUGACGCUGAGACGCGAAAGCGUGGGGAGCAAACAGGG